AUUGAACGCUGGCGGCAGGCCUAACACAUGCAAGUCGAGCGGAGCGGCGGACGGGUGAGUAAUGCCUAGGAAUCUGCCUGGUAGUGGGGGAUAACGUCCGGAAACGGGCGCUAAUACCGCAUACUAUCAGAUGAGCCUAGGUCGGAUUAGCUAGUUGGUGGGGUAAAGGCCUACCAAGGCGACGAUCCGUAACUGGUCUGAGAGGAUGAUCAGUCACACUGGAACUGAGACACGGUCCAGCCUCCUACGGGAGGCAGAAGUGGGGAUGAUUGGACAAUGGGCGAAAGCCUGAUCCAGCCAUGCCGCGUGUGGUAAGAAGGCCUUCGGGUUGUAAAGCACUUUCAGCGGGGAGGCGUUACCCGCAGAAGAAGCACCGGCUAACUCCGUGCCAGCAGCCGCGGUAAUAC
rnacentral:rRNA from 1 species